ACCCAGUUGCGUGGUUGGGAAGC
rnacentral:snRNA from 1 species